rnacentral:rRNA from 1 species
GAUGAACGCUGGCGGCGUGCCUAAUACAUGCCAGUCGAGCGAACGGACGAGAAGCUUGCUUCCCUGAUGUUAGCGGCGGACGGGUGGGUAACACGUAGAUAACCUACCUAUAAGUCUGGGAGAACUUCGGGAAACCGGAUCUGAUACUAGCUCAUACUUUGUACCGCAUGGAUCAAAAGAGAAAGACGGUCUUGCUGUUACAUAUAGAUGGAUCCGCGCUGCAUUAGCUAGUUGGUAAGGUAACGGCCUACCAAGGCAACGAUGCAUAGCCGACCUGAGAGGGUGAUCGGCCACACUGGAACUGAGACACGGUCCAGACUCCUACGGGAGGCAGCAGUGGGGAAUAUUGGACAAUGGGCGAAAGCCUGAUCGAGCCAUGCCGCGUGGGUGAUGAAGGCCUUCGGAUUGUAAAGCUCUGUUAUUGGGGAAGAAAAUAAGUAGAUUAAUACGUGGAUAUCUUGACGGUACCUAAAGAGAAAGCAACGGCUAACUUCGUG